UGGUUUGAAAUAAAUGCUUGUUGUUUGGAUGUAGACCGCAUAACUUCGUCGUGGUUGAAUAUAUCUAACUUGCUAUUUUAUGGAAAAUACAUUAAGGUCACUGUUUACAUUUCACCAUGCCAUCUAUUAGCAACGGGUUGUUGUCAAGGAGCGGAUAUGGUUUCUGUAACCUUGAAUAACGCUACCGGGUACAUGCGCGACGUGGUUAACAUUUGUAUUUUGUACUCAACUGGAGGACAACUGAAUAACAGAUGUCUCACGGGGAAGGUAAACAAGAAUUUACAUAACCAAUUGUUUUCAACAAUAAAAUGGUGAUAAUUGAAACUACAACUGCAACAGUCUUGGCAAAUUCUCAGAAAGCUAUUGAGCUAUUGCCUUCUCUUUGUUUUUGUGGAGCAAGACUCGAACAACCUGGUAUGCAUUGGUUAGACCAACAAACAAGUUCACACUGAAAAGAGACCAGUUUUUGGGGAUGAUGACCAAGGAAUAAC